GGGCUCCAGGGGGUGGCCUCGCAGGCCACUCCUUAAUUCCACCGUACUGAUAGGGGCUGUGCAGAGGGCCAUAAGGACGUCUCAAAGGGAAACUAGCCCUGACCUGGAGGGCGAUGGAAGACAGAAGGAUUCAGUUAGCUGUGCAAUGUCGGGGACGGCUAUUUCAGCCAGGACAGCACAUGCAAAGGCCUGAGCUAACCCUGCACUUAUUCAUCCACCAUGGGCACCUGUGAUCAUCUUCCUGGUGGUACCAACCUCUACUCCGGCCCCCUCCCAGGGAUGGUCUCACAGGAGCUGUCAGCUAUUAGUUCCUCUUGUUCCCGAUGGCUGUUAAAUCAUACUCAAGAAAAGAACACCUGAUGUUAGUUCUCUGGGGUUUUGGAAAGUAAAUUUCAGAAUAGACCUUUUCCGUUGGAGAAGAUGAAGGAGGUGAAGGAAAAGGAAAAUCCUGUCCUAUUAGACAAGGAAGACUCUGAGGCCCAGAGGUUCAGGAACUUGUCCAGGUGUAUUGCAGAAAGAAGACACCCCUGUGCUCCCUCGACGUCCACACCACUGCCCCGCAGUUGUGGUCAUUUCUGCUUUCCUGGGCAUGCCCGAUCCAGAUGAGCCACGGAUUGCACGUUUCUGAAAUACACUUUGCCUCCUGAAGGUGACCGGUGGGGCAGAAGCCCAGCCCGACCCGGUUCACCCGGGGAUUUUUCAGGAUCUGCGAUGGGCGAAGAGGUGCAGUGAUGACGAGGAGAGAAGAAAGUCAAGAGUCCGUUUUUAUAGGCUGCCUGGAACUCUUCUGUCUCAUUCAGAGUUGAAAAGGAGUUAAUUCAGGGAAGAGCAGGGCAGGGUCAAGCAGGCCAGGUCUCAUGCACACAUUUUUCCUCUUACCACCUACCGAUCUGUAGGAUGGAUCUAUCCUUUCCCUAAACACUUGACAUAAGCCAGAGGGGAUGAUGGUCACUACGACAUCCGGAUGGACUGAUGGAUUGAUGAUUCAUCUCAGGGAGUUUUGCGAGGCUCUUCUGUGUGUUUGCUGCAGAAGACAUUUU